UACGAAGGGUGCAAGCGUUACUCGGAAUUACUGGGCGUAAAGCGUGCGUAGGUGGUUUGUUAAGUCUGUUGUGAAAGCCCCGGGCUCAACCUGGGAAUGGCAAUGGAUACUGGCAAGCUAGAGUGCGGUAGAGGGUAGUGGAAUUCCCGGUGUAGCGGUGAAAUGCGUAGAGAUCGGGAGGAACACCAGUGGCGAAGGCGGCUACCUGGACUAGCACUGACACUGAGGCACGAAAGCGUGGGGAGCAAACAGG
rnacentral:rRNA from 1 species